rnacentral:rRNA from 1 species
GCCUACGGCCACACCACCCUGAAAGUGCCUGAUCUCGUCUGAUCUCAGAAGCGAUACAGGGUCGGGCCUGGUUAGUACCUGGAUGGGAGACCGCCUGGGAAUACCAGGUGUCGUAGGCUUUUCAAAGUUUUCAACUUUAUUUUGCCACAGCAUCGCCGACAAGUCAUGGAGCCAAAAGGUGCUGCUGUUCAUC